GGCUAGAGUCCUGGGAGGUGACUGAUGACUGACUCAGGACAGGGGUGGAUCCUGACAGAGAAGAGCAAGGAGUAGCGUGGCAGUCAUCUGACUGGUGUCUGCAAGGCGUCACAAGACAAGGGGAGGAUUAAGAGCCAUCAAGAGAAUUUAAGCGACAGUUCAGUGCUCCGAGGCACGGCGCCACAGUGCAGGGUCCGGGCUCCAGGUGCA